rnacentral:tRNA from 1 species
UUAAUUGAAACCAAAUCAGCGGUAUACUACUGUUAAUAGUAAAAUUGAGUAUUCUCCAAUUAAA